rnacentral:rRNA from 1 species
GUGAGCGUGCGGGCGAUACGGGCAGACUUGAGUACUGCAGGGGAGACUGGAAUUCCUGGUGUAGCGGUGGAAUGCGCAGAUAUCAGGAGGAACACCGGUGGCGAAGGCGGGUCUCUGGGCAGUAACUGACGCUGAGGAGCGAAAGCGUGGGGAGCGAACAGGAUUAGAUACCCUGGUAGUCCACGCCGUAAACGGUGGGUACUAGGUGUGGGUUUCCUUCCUUGGGAUCCGUGCCGUAGCUAACGCAUUAAGUACCCCGCCUGGGGAGUACGGCCGCAAGGCUAAAACUCAAAGAAAUUGACGGGGGCCCGCACAAGCGGCGGAGCAUGUGGAUUAAUUCGAUGCAACGCGAAGAACCUUACCUGGGUUUGACAUGCACAGGACGCCGGCAGAGAUGUCGGUUCCCUUGUGGCCUGUGUGCAGGUGGUGCAUGGCUGUCGUCAGCUCGUGUCGUGAGAUGUUGGGUUAAGUCCCGCAACGAGCGCAACCCUUGUCUCAUGUUGCCAGCGGGCAAUGCCGGGGACUCGUGAGAGACUGCCGGGGUCAACUCGGAGGAAGGUGGGGAUGACGUCAAGUCAUCAUGCCCCUUAUGUCCAGGGCUUCACACAUGCUACAAUGGCCGGUACAAAGGGCUGCGAUGCCGCGAGGUUAAGCGAAUCCUUUUAAAGCCGGUCUCAGUUCGGAUCGGGGUCUGCAACUCGACCCCGUGAAGUCGGAGUCGUCUAGUAAU